rnacentral:rRNA from 1 species
GACGAACGCUGGCGGCGUGCCUAAUACAUGCAAGUCGAGCGAUGAAGAGUGGUGCUUGCACCACUUUGAAUAGCAGCGGACGGGUGAGUAACGCGUGGGGAACCUGCCUUUGAGCGGGGGACAACAUCGGGAAACGAAUGCUAAUACCGCAUAACAACUUUAAACAUAAGUUUUAAGAUUGAAAGAUGCAAUUGCUUCACUCAAAGAUUAUCCCGCGUUGUAUUAGCCAGUUGGUGAGGUAAACGCCCAACAAGGCGAUGAUACAUAGCCGACCUGGGAGGGUGGACGGCCCAAAUGGGAAUGGGACACGGCCCCAACUCCUACCGGGAGCAGCAGGAGGGAAUCUUCGGGCAUGGAGGAAAGUCUUGCCGGGGAACGGCGCGGGGGUGAAGGAGGGUCUCGGGUUGGUAAACUCCGUUGGUAGGGGAGAACGAAAGUGGGAGUGGAAAGCGCAUGAAGUGACGGUAACUAACCAGAAAGGGACGGCUAACUACGUG